rnacentral:misc_RNA from 1 species
GCUUUGUAACUCCGUUCGAUCUGGCAUUGAGAAUGGCCGGGCCAUUUCUCGUUGAACGCGAAAUAGAUCCUUCUGAAGACACGCUGGGUGGAGCACUGAUGAUCCGGCUCCUGCUCGAGCUACCUGACCAACAUAGUCAUUUCAAAACAAUAGUCGAACAUCCGUCGAUAGGCGAGGCUCUAUGGAUGACUAUUCGAGAGCUACGGAUGGCGGGAAUCAGUUCGCGCGAACUCGAGAGCAAGACCUUUGGCUCUGCGUCAAAGAAGGGCGAGCUCACGGGACUGCUUACCGCAUA